rnacentral:lncRNA from 1 species
GAAAGAAGAGAAGAGAGAAAAAUGCAAGUUUUUCUCAUCAUGCCCAGAUUUCAUCAAAGGUUUGAUCUCACUUCGUCCGUGGUCCGAUCGAGCUGAAAUUUGGAGGAGAGUUUCGUGACUCAUUUAUCUUCAAUCUGAACGGUGAAGAUCGGAUUUGGAGUUUCGGAAAGUCAUUAGAAAGAAAGAGGAGAAGAGAGAAAAACGUAGGUUUUUCUCAUCAUGCCCAGAUUUCAUCAAAUGUCCGAUCCCGCUUCGUCCGUGGUCCGAUCGAGUUGAAAUUUGAAGGAGAGGUUCAUGGCUCAUGUAUCUUCAAUAUGAACGGUGGAGAUCGGAUUUGGAGUUUCGGACAGUCAUUAGAGAGAAAGAGGAGAAGAGAGAAAAACGUAGGUUUUUCUCAUCAUGCCCAGAUUUCAUCAAAUGUCCGAUCCCGCUUCGUCCGUGGUCCGAUCGAGUUGAAAUUUGAAGGAGAGGUUCGUGGCUCAUGUAUCUUCAAUAUGAACGGUGAAGAUUGGAUUUGGAGUUUCGGAAAGUCAUUAGAGGGAAAGAGGAGAAGAGAGAAAAACAGUGGUUUUUUACAUCAUGCCCAGAUUUCAU